rnacentral:lncRNA from 1 species
AGUCCUUCGCCGUCCCUCGCCGUCCUUCGCCAUCGCACGCCACCGCACCCCAUCUCUCGAAAUCUGCAGACAUCUUGAUUUUUCCCACGCUGUCUGUCAGGUCUCCGCCGCCACUCGACGCCAGGGCGCCGGGCCUUGUGGGCUGUGCUGCACCUCGGACGGCUUCGCACCAGCCAGCGCCCUCUCUCUCCUGCAGCACUCUGAUCUGCACCCCCUGAGGGGCUUCCACUGUCCGCGGGGUGAGAAUGCCCCUGGGAGUGUCACAUGACUGCCGCCCCAUGUGUGUGAGAGGCGUCCUCUGGGAGAGCAUGGAUCCUGAGGUCCCAGGAUUGUCAGCUGACCUCUGUCCUGUGUGCCCAGUGGCCCCAGGUGACGUGUCUUCAAGAAGAGGCUGAGCUGCGGUGCUUGUAAGGCAGGGUCUCAUUCUGUCACCCAGGCUGGAGUGCAGUGGUGCAAUGAUGGCUCACUGCAGCCUCGACCUGGGCUCAAGUGAUCCUCCACCUCAGCUUCCUGAGUAGCUGGGACCACAGGUCUCAGCCUUAGAUCCAAGGACAGUCCAAGGAAGUCCUAAGACCAUGGAGUUGGUGAUCUGGGAUCUGGGUUUGCUGAUAUUUCUCACCGUGAAUCUCUUGGUGGUGUUUGUGGGCACGAGAGGGGCAGAGAAUGGAGAGUGAGGCUACCACAUGAAGCGUCACCAGAGCUGCUCCCUGCUGCCUGCUCAGAGCACCCCGGAUCCACUGUUCAAUCUGCACAAGAUUCGGGGUCCAGACAUGGGAGACUUCAGCUGCCUCAGAGGACCGUGGACAGGGAAGGCCAGCCUCGCAUCCCUCUGUCCAUGCCUGGAAUGACUUUAAUAACCAAGAGUUUUAUUUUUGAAUUUGUAGCUGUCGUUCACUUUUUACCCACCCAUUCAAUAAACCUUACAGAAUUGCUCCA